rfam:Myotis davidii contig36807, whole genome shotgun sequence.
AGGCCUGAAGAGAGAAGCAGGGUCUGAUCCGUAGCCUGUGUGGCAGCUUUUGAUCAGCACUUGUCUCUCUCUUUUUCUCCU